AGUUCAACCAUCUAAAAGGAAGUGAUUCCCAAAACUUCCAUAACAAAGCCAUCACCCACAGAGAAAUUAACAUGGAGAAGAGCUCCCUAAGCAAGCUGGUCCUGGGGCUCUUAUCACAAACACAAACACACUCCACAGAGCCCCAGGACAGCAACACAAUUAGACACAACCAAAUCAUGAGAAAACAAAAAGAAAAUUACUUGACACAUUGGAAAGAAUUUACAAAAAAACAGAGUAUACUAGAAUGCUAUUUGCCCCUAAAUCAGAGAGUACACAGUGGCAUAAUACCUGACCACUGUGACUGACCCAAACUUAAGGAAAGCUUUGACUAUGUACAAACUCAGUGAGCAUAGCCUUGCUAUUGAGAAAGCCCGUCUUCUCUUGAGAGCCAUGUCAGCCUAUGUGCACACUGCCCACAAAGUGAAGUGGAAACUGAGCUGCACUUCCUAACCUUCUGCCAAAUGUAUGACCAUAUUAGAGACACAUAUUUCCCUCAGAUUACACAUAUCCACAAAUAAUUCGAAAAACAAACCCAAUUUUGAUAAACUCCCAUAUCUAUUGGUUGAAAUACCAGCGUGUGCCAUCACAGCAGCAAGAUUUGUGACCUGUUGCCACAAGAAAAGGGAAAAUGAAUCAACAUAAAUAUGGGUUGUAUUUACAAUGGUGUUUGUUCUUCCCUGCUGAAGAAGCACCAUUGUAAAUACAACCCAUAUUUAUGUUAAUUUAUUUUCCCCUUUGUACUUGAACUACUUGUACAUCAUUAAAACACCGUAUAUAGACAUAAUGACAUUUGAAAUGUGAGUGAGAGUGAGAGUGAGAGUGAGAGUGAGAGUGAGAGAGAGAGAGAGAGAGAAAAAAUUAAAGAAGUUGGUCAGUUGUUCCAAUGGACUGAUUCCUACAUUAGUACACGUCUUGGAUAGAAGUAGAUGUUCUGAAGCCGUCUCUCCUCCCGAGUCCCCACACAACAAAGUACUUCUCCAAUGAUUCACUAAGAAAUACCCAAGAAAAUCUGCUCUCUAGUACCGGGCUAUUCAACUCUGACCCUACGAGGUCCAGAGCCUGCUGGUUCUCUGUUCUACCUGAUCUUUAAUUACACUCACCUGGUGUCCCAGGUCUAAAUCUGUCCCUGGUUAGAGGGGAACAAUGAAAACACACAGAGGAACUGGCAUCCAGGUCUAAAUCUGUCCCUGGUUAGAGGGGAACAAUGAAAACACAGUGGAACUGGCAUCCAGGUCUAAAUCUGUCCCUGGUUAGAGGGGAACAAUGAAAACACAGUGGAACUGGCAUCCAGGUCUAAAUCUGUCCCUGGUUAGAGGGGAACAAUGAAAACACACAGUGGAACUGGCAUCCAGGUCUAAAUCUGUCCCUGGUUAGAGGGGAACAAUGAAAACACACAGAGGAACUGGCAUCCAGGUCUAAAUCUGUCCCUGGUUAGAGGGGAACAAUGAAAACACAGUGGAACUGGCAUCCAGGUCUAAAUCUGUCCCUGGUUAGAGGGGAACAAUGAAAACACACAGUGGAACUGGCAUCCAGGUCUAAAUCUGUCCCUGGUUAGAGGGGAACAAUGAAAACACAGUGGAACUGGCAUCCAGGUCUAAAUCUGUCCCUGGUUAGAGGGGAACAAUGAAAACACACAGUGGAACUGGCAUCCAGGUCUAAAUCUGUCCCUGGUUAGAGGGGAACAAUGAAAACACACAGUGGAACUGGCAUCCAGGUCUAAAUCUGUCCCUGGUUAGAGGGGAACAAUGAAAACACAGUGGAACUGGCAUCCAGGUCUAAAUCUGUCCCUGGUUAGAGGGGAACAAUGAAAACACACAGUGGAACUGGCAUCCAGGUCUAAAUCUGUCCCUGGUUAGAGGGGAACAAUGAAAACACACAGUGGAACUGGCAUCCAGGUCUAAAUCUGUCCCUGGUUAGAGGGGAACAAUGAAAACACACAGUGGAACUGGCAUCCAGGUCUAAAUCUGUCCCUGGUUAGAGGGGAACAAUGAAAACACAGUGGAACUGGCAUCCAGGU